rnacentral:rRNA from 1 species
AGGAAGAAGCUUGCUUCUUUGCUGACGAGUGGCGGACGGGUGAGUAAUGCUUGGGAAUCUGGCUUAUGGAGGGGGGUAACUACGGGAAACUGUAGCUAAUACCGCGUAGACUCGGGAGAGUAAAGUGUGGGACCGUAAGGCCACAUGCCAUAAGAUGAGCCCAAGUGGGAUUAGGUAGUUGGUGGGGUAAAGGCCUACCAAGCCGACGAUCUCUAGCUGGUCUGAGAGGAUGACCAGCCACACUGGAACUGAGACACGGUCCAGACUCCUACGGGAGGCAGCAGUGGGGAAUAUUGCGCAAUGGGGGAAACCCUGACGCAGCCAUGCCGCGUGAAUGAAGAAGGCCUUCGGGUUGUAAAGUUCUUUCGGUGAUGAGGAAGGCAAGUGAGUAAAUAGCUUACUUGAUUGACGUUAAUCACAGAAGAAGCACCGGCUAACUCCGUGCCAGCAGCCGCGGUAAUACGGAGGGUGCGAGCGUUAAUCGGAAUAACUGGGCGUAAAGGGCACGCAGGCGGCUAUUUAAGUGAGAUGUGAAAUCCCCGAGCUUAACUUGGGAAUUGCAUUUCAGACUGGGUAGCUAGAGUACUUUAGGGAGGGGUAGAAUUCCACGUGUAGCGGUGAAAUGCGUAGAGAUGUGGAGGAAUACCGAAGGCGAAGGCAGCCCCUUGGGAAUGUACUGACGCUCAUGUGCGAAAGCGUGGGGAGCAAACAGGAUUAGAUACCCUGGUAGUCCACGCUGUAAACGAUGUCGAUUUGGGGAUUGGGCUUUAAGCUUGGUGCCCGAAGCU